UAUUAAAACUUUAUUAUUUUGGCAGAUUAGUGUAAUGAAUUUAGAAUUCAUAAAAGUAAGUUUUUUACAAGUAAUAC
rnacentral:tRNA from 1 species